rnacentral:rRNA from 1 species
UACGUAGGGGGCAAGCGUUGUCCGGAUUUAUUGGGCGUAAAGAGCGUGUAGGCGGUUUGGUAGGUCCGUUGUGAAAACUCGAGGCUCAACCUCGAGACGCCGAUGGAAACCAUCAGACUAGAGUCCGGAAGAGGAGAGUGGAACUGCGAGUGUAGAGGUGAAAUUCGUAGAUAUUCGCAAGAACACCAGUGGCGAAGGCGGCUCACUGGCCCGGUACUGACGCUGAGGUGCGAAAGCGUGGGGAGCAAACAGG